GAGUAACACGUGAGCAACCUGCCCCUGACUCUGGGAUAAGCGCUGGAAACGGCGUCUAAUACUGGAUAUGUGACGUGACCUAAUGGUCUGCGUUUGGAAAGAUUUUUCGGUUGGGGAUGGGCUCGCGGCCUAUCAGCUUGUUGGUGAGGUAAUGGCUCACCAAGGCGUCGACGGGUAGCCGGCCUGAGAGGGUGACCGGCCACACUGGGACUGAGACACGGCCCAGACUCCUACGGGAGGCAGCAGUGGGGAAUAUUGCACAAUGGGCGAAAGCCUGAUGCAGCAACGCCGCGUGAGGGAUGACGGCCUUCGGGUUGUAAACCUCUUUUAGCAGGGAAGAAGCGAAAGUGACGGUACCUGCAGAAAAAGCGCCGGCUAACUACGUGCCAGCAGCCGCGGUAAUACGUAGGGCGCAAGCGUUAUCCGGAAUUAUUGGGCGUAAAGAGCUCGUAGGCGGUUUGUCGCGUCUGCUGUGAAAUCCCGAGGCUCAACCUCGGGCCUGCAGUGGGUACGGGCAGACUAGAGUGCGGUAGGGGAGAUUGGAAUUCCUGGUGUAGCGGUGGAAUGCGCAGAUAUCAGGAGGAACACCGAUGGCGAAGGCAGAUCUCUGGGCCGUAACUGACGCUGAGGAGCGAAAGGGUGGGGAGCAAACAGGCUUAGAUACCCUGGUAGUCCACCCCGUAAACGUUGGGAACUAGUUGUGGGGUCCAUUCCACGGAUUCCGUGACGCAGCUAACGCAUUAAGUUCCCCGCCUGGGGAGUACGGCCGCAAGGCUAAAACUCAAAGGAAUUGACGGGGACCCGCACAAGCGGCGGAGCAUGCGGAUUAAUUCGAUGCAACGCGAAGAACCUUACCAAGGCUUGACAUAUACGAGAACGGGCCAGAAAUGGUCAACUCUUUGGACACUCGUAAACAGGUGGUGCAUGGUUGUCGUCAGCUCGUGUCGUGAGAUGUUGGGUUAAGUCCCGCAACGAGCGCAACCCUCGUUCUAUGUUGCCAGCACGUAAUGGUGGGAACUCAUGGGAUACUGCCGGGGUCAACUCGGAGGAAGGUGGGGAUGACGUCAAAUCAUCAUGCCCCUUAUGUCUUGGGCUUCACGCAUGCUACAAUGGCCGGUACAAAGGGCUGCAAUACCGUGAGGUGGAGCGAAUCCCAAAAAGCCGGUCCCAGUUCGGAUUGAGGUCUGCAACUCGACCUCAUGAAGUCGGAGUCGCUAGUAAUCGCAGAUCAGCAACGCUGCGGUGAAUACGUUCCCGGGUCUUGUACACACCGCCCGUCAAGUCAUGAAAGUCGGUAACACCUGAAGCCGGUGGCCUAACCCUUGUGGAGGAG
rnacentral:rRNA from 1 species